rnacentral:rRNA from 1 species
GACGAACGCUGGCGGCGUGCUUAACACAUGCAAGUCGAGCGGUAAGGCCCUUUCGGGGGUACACGAGCGGCGAACGGGUGAGUAACACGUGGGUGACCUGCCCUUAGCUCUGGGAUAAGCCUGGGAAACUGGGUCUAAUACCGGAUAUGACUCCAUGACGCAUGUUGUGGGGUGGAAAGCCUUGUGCGGCUAGGGAUGGGCCCGCGGCCUAUCAGCUUGUUGGUGGGGUGAUGGCCUACCAAGGCGACGACGGGUAGCCGGCCUGAGAGGGCGACCGGCCACACUGGGACUGAGACACGGCCCAGACUCCUACGGGAGGCAGCAGUGGGGAAUCUUGCGCAAUGGCGAAAGCCUG